UGAAUACGAGACGCUAAGGCGUCGAAGUAGUGUAUGUCAGGCUUCCAAGAAAAGCUCGCACUGUCAUAGGUAAAAAAUGCCUGUACCAUAACCGACACAGGUGGGUAGGUAGAGUAUACUAAGGGGCGCGAGAUAACUCUCUCUAAGGAACUCGGCAAAAUGACUCCGUAACUUCGGGAGAAGGAGUGCCUUAUUUAUAAGGUUGCAAUAACAAGAUCCAAGCAACUGUUUACCAAAAACACAGGUCUCCGCUAAGUCGUAAGACGAUGUAUGGGGGCUGACGCCUGCCCAGUGCCAGAAGGUUAAAGAAGUUGGUUAGCAUUAGCGAAGCUGAUAACUGAAGCCCUGGUGAACGGCGGCCGUAACAAUAACGGUCCUAAGGUAGCGAAAUUCCUUGUCGGGUAAGUUCCGACCCGCACGAAAGGCGUAAUGAUUUGGAUACUGUCUCGGAGAGAGGCUCGGUGAAAUAGACUUGUCUGUGAAGAUGCGGACUACCUGCACCUGGACAGAAAGACCCUAUGAAGCUUUACUGUAACUUGAAAUUGAAAUUGGACUUUAGUCGCGCAGCAUAGGUGGGAAGCGUUGAGCAUAUUCUUGCGGGAAUAUAGGAGCUAUCAGUGAGAUACCACUCUUCUAAUGUUAGAUUUCUAACCUUGAACCAUUAUCUGGUCAAGGAACAGUUUCAGGCGGGCGGUUUGACUGGGGCGGUCGCCUCCCAAAUGGUAACGGAGGCGUACAAAGGUUUCCUCUGAACGGAUAGAAAUCGUAUCUAGAGUAUAAAGGCAUAAGGAAGCUUGACUGUGAGACCUACAAGUCGAGCAGGGACGAAAGUCGGUCUUAGUGAUCUGACGGUACUGAGUGGAAAGGCCGUCACUCAACGGAUAAAAGUUACUCUAAGGAUAACAGGCUGAUCUCCCCCAAGAGUUCACAUCGACGGGGAGGUUUGGCACCUCGAUGUCGGCUCAUCGCAUCCUGGGGCGGUAGUACGUCCCAAGGGUUGGGCUGUUCGCCCAUGAAAGCGGUACGCGAGCUGGGUUCAGAACGUCGUGAGACAGUUCGGUCCAUAUCCGGUGUAGGCGUUAGAAUAUUGAGAGGAGCCUUCUUUAGUACGAGAGGACCGAGAAGGACAUACCUCUGGUGUACCAGUUAUCGUGCCAACGGUAAACGCUGGGUAGCUAUGUAUGGAGUGGAUAACCGCUGAAAGCAUCUAAGUGGGAAGCCCACCUCAAGAUGAGUAUUCUCAU
rnacentral:rRNA from 1 species